UCGAGAAUCAUUCACAAUGGGCGAAAGCCUGAUGGUGCGACGCCGCGUGGAGGAAGAAGGCCCUAGGGUCGUAAACUCCUGUCAUCAGGGAGUAAGGGUUUCACCAGUAACUGGGUGGGGCAUUGAUAGUACCUGAAGAGGAAGGGACGGCUAACUUCGUGCCAGCAGCCGCGGUAAUACGAAGGUCCCGAGCGUUGUUCGGAAUUACUGGGCGUAAAGAGUCUGUAGGCGGUUGGGUAAGUCAGAUGUG
rnacentral:rRNA from 1 species